UGGUGUAAAAUAAUAAUCUCAGCUCACACAAUUUCACCAAAAGUGAAAGUUGAAACGAAACCAUCCGAAGUAUUCCGAAAGUAUUGCAAAUUCUGAGCGUUCAGUGACAAGGAGGAAAAACUGUACGAGAAGAAGUUUUAAGGUAUGAAAGAUGUUUGCAUCAGGAUCCCAGAAAAGACACUGGAUGUUUACUGGAGUGUCAGAGAUAGAUUUACUGAGGAAAGAAGCCAAUGAAAGAUUUAUUAAUAUAUUUGGAGAAAAUAUGGAUGAAAACAGUAGACAAGAAAAUUUCCUUAGUCCAGCAGAGGAAAAACUUCUGAUGCGUCACUUUGAGUUCAUCUUGAGGGAGUUCUGUAAGAAGUUUAACCCUACAAUGCCAAAAUAUGUACAGGGUACAGCACUAACCUACUUCAAAAGAUUUUAUAUCCACAAUUCUAUCAUGGAUUACCAUCCUAGAGAUCUCAUGUUGACAUGUGUAUACCUGUCAUGUAAAGUCGAAGAAUUUAACGUGUCUAUAGGACAGUUUGUUGGCAACUUGAAGGGUGAUCGAGAGAAGUUUGCUAACAUUAUUCUGGGAUUUGAACUUCUGCUGAUGGAUAAACUACACUAUCACCUCACAGUGCACAACCCUUUCAGACCGCUGGAAGGAUUUCUUAUAGAUCUUAAAACUCGUUAUUUCAAGGACAAACCAGAGAGUGUUGAAAGGCUUAGAAAAAAUGCUGAAGAAUUUGUUGAGAGGUCUCUGUCAACAGAUGUCUGCCUUAUAUAUUCACCUUCACAGAUUGCCCUUGCUGGAGUUAUAUAUAGUGCUGGAGAAGAAGGAAUAAGCCUGGAUAAUUAUGUUACCACUGUUCUAUUGAGGAAUUCCCCAACUGAGGAGAUUCGGAAAAUGGCUCAACAGAUCAAGAGAAUUAAGAGUCUAGUAAAGAAUCAAGAUCCUCUGCAGCGAGAGCUGAUUGGUCCUGUACAGCGGAAGCUUGAAAACUGUCGCAACCAGGCAAAUAACCCAGAAUCUGAAGUUUACAAACGUCGGUUAGAGGAGAUGUUUGAGGAAGAGGAAGAAGAGAGAAGUCGUAAACGUGCAAAAAUUGCUCAUGAGGAGAAGGAGGCUGAAAGAAUGCUGCUUGGAGUUUGAUACAGGCUGUCUGAUUGGUCAGUUUGGAUAUACCCAGAUAUGUGAUUGGAUGGUUGGAUGGACUUUCAUAACAACCUGAGCUGGUGGCAUGUAAAAUAUAUAUUGGAUGGACCUACAGAAGUUUGAAUAUUUUGUUACAUAUUCAAGAUGAAGAGUCUUUCAUGCAGAAAUCAAAUAGAGAAACAUUUUUUUUCAAAUGAGGAAAUGUUUAAAAGCCACAGCAUUGUUUUAUAUAGGGAUGGUAUGUGACAGUCUAUCUUAAAUUGUUGAUGUUAUUCUGGAGCUGAGGACACUAAAAUUUUAGUGGGAAAAUUGCCAAAAGAACUCAUGAUUGACUUAAAUAACUCCUUGUGUUGCAACUAAGUGCUAUAAACUUGUGUUCAGAUGAUGCAAAAUAACUUUGUGUUCAAGUGCUUGAAGUACAUGUAAAGAAUGUGUUUAGUUUUGCGGAGAUGUCAGUGAUAAGAAAAUCUGAUAAACUGGGUGUUGACAAGGAAUGAGAUUUUCACUACAUAAUGCCAGAUUAACACUAUUAAGUGGUCGAUUGUGAAGGAAGUUCUACAACUUGUAUCAAUCACUCUCGACACCUCAUUCCUGAUGGAAUCCAUUGCCAGGAGGGUAUGAGAGAAGAGGCCAGUUUCCCUUUUUAUGCUGAGCACCAAGCAAGGGAACUGCUGGUACCGUUUUUGAACUCACGACCUCCAGCACUCGAAGCGGACGCUCUACCACUAGGCUAUCAAGGCUCUGAACAAAUUAGAUAAAGAACUGGAUAAUAAUUACUUUUAAUACUACUGUAUUUAUGAAUUUUAAAUUCCAUUUACCUGCUUAAGUAUUCAGGUAAAAAGUGUGCUUUGACCCUUUUUUUGAUUCAUAAAUAUUUUAAGUGUAUUUCUGGGUCUCCCCUCAUAUUUGAUUUAAUAACAUUUAGAUGUUUGGUAAAAUCUAAAGAAAUAGGUUUUAUUCAUUAAGAGUGCUAAUUCUUAUAUUUUGUCAAAUAGUGUGCAAAAAAAAAUAUGUGUUGAAAAUUAUUUCAACUGCAAAAAAAAACACUUCUAUUUGUUUGGUUAUGAACAUUAUAAACAAUUUUAUGCUUUUCUGUGGGUUAGUGAAAUUUAACAUUAGAUUAUAAUAUGAUAAAUUCACUGUUUUCAAACAGUGAGGUUAUUUGAAAUAAUUCCACUGGUAUUACUAUGCUUGAAAAUGGAAGAUUAUGAUUUAUAAGUAGUAAGGAACUCUCAUACUUUAUUAGAUACUAUUAAACGUUUUUUGCCAUUAUAAAGUCUUUAUUAUGCCCCCGAAGGGAGGCAUAUAGUUUUUGAACCGUCUGUCAGUCUGUCCGCAAUUUUCGUGUCCGGUCCAUAUCUUUGUCAUCGAUGGAUGGAUUUUCAAAUAACUUGGCAUGAAUGUGUACCACAGUAAGACAACGUGUCAUGCGCAAGACCCAGGUCCGUAGCUCAAAGGUCAAGGUCACACUUAGACGUUAAAGGAUAGUGCAUUGAUGGGCGUGUCCGGUCCAUAUCUUUGUCAUCGAUGGAUGGAUUUUCAAAUAACUUGGCAUAAAUGUGUACCACAGUAAGACGACAUGUCGCGUGCAAGACCCAGGUCCGUAGCUCAAAGGUCAAGGUCACACUUAGACGUUAAAGGUCAUUUUUCAUGAUAGUGCAUUGAUGGGCAUGUCCAGUCCAUAUCUUUGUCAUUCAUGCAUGGAUUUUAUAAUAACUACGUACGAAUGUGUGGCACAGUAAGACGCUGUGUCGCGUGCAAGACCCAGCUCCGUAGGUCAAAGGUCCUAAACUCUAACAUCGGCCAUAACUAUUCAUUCAAAGUGCCAUCGGGGCAUGUGUCAUCCUAUGGAGACAGCUCUUGUUUUUGGAUAGAUAUUGAUCAAUAUUGAUACCCAUUUUGGAAGAAGUGUUUUUUCGGGCAUGACAUUUUGCUGCUUGCAAUGUUAGAAUGAUAUUUAUCUAAACUGCAGUAGAAAUACCUGAAGUAAAGAUAAUACUGCUAGAACAAAACACUUCUUUAAUUAUCAUGGUAUAUUAUAUUGUAAUUAUGGAAGAAAACUGUUAAGUUUUUGCAAAAAUUAAAUUAAGAAUACAGAAAACAAAAGGUUA